rnacentral:tRNA from 1 species
GGAGUUCAUGGCUCAGUGGCAGAGCACCUGCUUUGCAUGCAAAAGGUCCUAGGCUUGAUCCCCGGCAUAUCCA